rnacentral:rRNA from 1 species
UCCUGGCUCAGGACGAACGCUGGCGGCGUGCCUAACACAUGCAAGUCGAACGGACGAGGGGAGCUUGCUCCCCAAGUUAGUGGCGGACGGGUGAGUAACACGUGAGCAACCUGCCCUUCGAGGGGGACAACAGUUGGAAACGACUGCUAAUACCGCAUAACGUAUUCGGGAGGCAUCUCCUGGAUACCAAAGAUUUUAUCGCCGAAGGAUGGGCUCGCGUCUGAUUAGAUAGUUGGCGGGGCAACGGCCCACCAAGUCGACGAUCAGUAGCCGGACUGAGAGGUUGAACGGCCACAUUGGGACUGAGAUACGGCCCAGACUCCUACGGGAGGCAGCAGUGGGGAAUAUUGGGCAAUGGGGCAACCCUGACCCAGCAACGCCGCGUGGAGGAAGAAGGCUUUCGGGUUGUAAACUCCUUUGACGAGGGACGAUAGUGACGGUACCUCGAAAACAAGCCACGGCUAACUACGUGCC